rfam:Dipodomys ordii contig_45152, whole genome shotgun sequence.
GGUGGCUCAGUGGUAGAGUGCUUGCCUCAUAUGCAUGAGGCCCUGGGUUCCAUUCCUCAGCACCA